rnacentral:rRNA from 1 species
AUGCCGCGUGUGUGAUGAAGGCCCUAGGGUUGUAAAGCUCUUUCAGCGAGGAGGAUAAUGACGUUACUCGCAGAAGAAGCCCCGGCUAACUUCGUGCCAGCAGCCGCGGUAAUACGAAGGGGGCUAGCGUUGUUCGGAAUCACUGGGCGUAAAGCGCACGUAGGCGGACUGAUUAGUCAGGGGUGAAAUCCCGGGGCUCAACCCCGGAACUGCCUUUGAUACUGUCAGUCUUGAGUCCGAGAGAGGUGAGUGGAACUCC